AUGAAACAUCUGAAAACAAACCUGCCAGCUCAGUGAGCAAACUCACAGCCAUAACUGAGUAAAUGCCUUCCUACAUGUGGAGUAGGUGAACACCCUCUCCCCUGUAUGAACCUAAUGAUAUUUUAUCAAGGAUUUGAAGUCAUGAAACUGAAACCAAAUAUCACGUCAUGAUCUGAUGGAGUCACUUUAUUUAUCAAGACCUGAGGAUUAAAGAUUUUAACCAUGGAAGGAGAAAGCACCAUUCACAGUGGGAAGAACAGAUACAUAUCUUCUGACAAAAGGCUUUAGCCAAUCAACUGGCCUCAAGAAGCACAAAUGCAGUCACAGUGGGUUGAAACUAUGGAAAAUCAUGACCUGUGAGAAAGGAUUCAGUCACUACUCUGUGCUGAUAAUUCCCCAACAUGUUCACACUGGGGAGAGGCCGUUGACCUGCUUCCUGUGUGGGAAGGGAUUCACUCAGUUAUUCAUCCUCCUGACAGACCAGCGAUUUCACACUGAUAAAUGUACAAGCUACUGAAAUUGCUUUUAAAAUUUCCAGCCAUCAGCAGUCCCACCAACUUGUUCACACUGACAAGAGACCUUUUCCAUGUCCAGGUUGUGGAAAGUGCUUUAAGAGUUCUGCUGAUCUGAUGUCCCAUCAGUUUGUUUACACUGAGGAAGAAAGGGUCAGAUGUUCUGACUGUGGGGCAUUCACAAGUGCAUUCAUACUAGGGAGAGGCCAUUCACCUGCUCUGAAUGUGGAAUUGGAUUUACUCAGUCAUAUCGCCUCAGUGCACACCCACAGAUUGACAUUGAGAGAAACCUUUUAAAUGUCCAAACUGUAGCAAGUGCUUUAAAGGUUCUGGUGAACUGAUUGUCCAUUAAUGUACUCACACUAAUGAUAGACCAUUCAGCUGCUAUCACAGUGGAACUGGGUUCAAAAUAUCAUCUAAACUCAGUCGGCACCAGCAUCGUCACACUGGCAAGAGGCCAUUCAUCUGCUCUAAAUGUGGGCAGGGAUUCAUUGACCCAUCCCACCUCAAGUUACACCAAAGUGUUCAGUCUGGUUAAAGACCAUUUAAAUGCCUCGAUUGUGGGAAGUGUUUUAAAUGUUCUGGGCACUUGAAACAUAUUCACUCUGAAAAUAGACGUUUUAAAUUCCCAGUUUGUGGGAAGUGCUUUAACAGCUCUGGGAAACUGAUGUCCCACCAACAUAUUCACACCAAUGAGAGACCAUUCAGGUGCUCUCACUGUGCGACUGGGUUCAGAUGAUCAUCUCAUCUUACUUUACACCAGCGAGGUCACACUGGGAAGAGAUCAUUUGCCUGCUCCAUGUGUGAGAAGAAAUUUGCGCAAUCAUCCAAUCUGGUGAGACACCAGCAAUGUCACAAGUCACUCCAGUGAUGGGAUUUUCAGUUAAUCAAAUUGGAACUCAUCCACGUUCAUUGGAGUCUGUUUCUGUUGAUGCUAAUAAACUCCAGUCCAGUGAAAGGUGCUUACAUUCUAAGUGUCAAAUAAAGCAGAUGUCUAUCAGUUACACAGUAUGGUCAGUCAUUUUAAUAUCGAACAGAAAUUUUUGAUGGAUGCUCCCUCCCUCCUGCCCCCUCAAUCCUCACCUCCAACAGCAAGUUUCAGGAGCACAAGAGUUUCUUUGUUAAUAAGGCUUGAGAAAAUCUGAUCAGCUUGCUCUCGUUUCUCUCCUUUCCAAUUGGUCACUGAGACAAACUCUAAUCUCAUGUCAUGCCCUGUCAGACCUCACCUUGUCCAAGUGCCUCACUUACUGCUCCAUUGGCCCUAUUUCCAUGAAAUGUCUGACUACUGACCUUCUCUCUAUUUGCUGCAUUGUUAACCAUUCUCCUACAGACACUGUCCCUUUUGCUAUAAAUCUGCCAUAUUUGCAUUCCAACCCCAACAUCCCAGCAAGUUACUGUCUUAAUUUGAACUUGCCUUUCCCGUCCAAAAUCCUGGAAUGACUUGUUUCCUCAUAAAUCCAUGCCAUCUAUCCACCCAUGCAAUGCUUGAAUCAGAUUUCUGUCCCUGUUACAUUCAUGAAAAUCAGUGUCUGUGGUCAAGUUCACUAUUUGGUGGAGCAAGUGCACUUGUGUAGAAAAUUGGCAUAUUGCUUCGGGAUUGAUGUACAAAUAACAAUACCUUUGACAUUAAAUGAGAAUCAAGUCAGUCGGAAUGAUUGUUGAUUCCCCAUAAUAUCCAUAAUUAGAACAUCUAUUCAGGAGCAUAUGCAGCAGCAUUCUGCCAACAGUAGGAGCUUCCACCGUGUAUUAAAAAUGCUGCCAUACAUGUGGUGUUGGAAUAGAGUAGGCCAUUUGGCCCAUGGUAUCUGCACAACCAUUUAAUGAGAUCAUGGCAGAUCUGAUUCUCCUCAAUUCCACUCUCAUGCCAUUUCCUCGCAACUCUUGAGUUCUUUACUGAUUAAAAAAAAACUGCCUCAACCUGGUGAAAAUAGGCCAUGUAGAGAAUAAACUGGGAAAAUAAUAAUGGGGAAUGAGAAAAUGGCAAAAGAGUCGAAUAAACACUUUACUCCAGUCUUCAAAGUAGAAGCCACUCAUAAAAUGCAAAAAUUACUGAAUAAUCAAAGGGCAAAAGGAAGAUAGGAAAUACAUGAAAUAACUAUCAUGACAAAUAGUAUAUUAGGAAAACUCAUAGAGCUAAAGCCUAUUAGUCCCUUGGAACUGGUGGGCUGCAUCCGAGGGUAUUGAAGGAACCAGCUACAGAGAUCUUGUAGUUGCGCUGGUAGUCAUCUUACAAGAAUCUUUAGAUUUUGAAGAAGUCUCAAAGGAUUAGAAAACUGUCAGUAUGUUGCCUUGAUUUGAAAAGGGUAUGAGACAAAAACUGGUAACUACAGACCAGCUAAUUUAAUAUUUGUUAUUGGAAAAAUCUUGGAAUCUAUUAUAAAGGAUGAAAGUGAAGCAAUUGUAAGUACAUUACCAGCGAGAAUUCUAUGACUUUAUGAUUUCAGGAAAAUUAUUGAUGAAGCUGCUGAAUAUGGUUAGGCAGAGAAUUCCAACCUGAGACAUUCAUGCAAUGAUGUCGUGGGACUGAGAUAAUUUACAUCCAACAACCACACGUUUCUGCUAGGUCAGGGCUGGUCUGCCUGAGUUUGUAAUUCCACAUUCCUGUUUCUCUUCCCAUGAAUUCAAAGCAACCCACCAUUCUUAUGGACAACAAGCAGCUGAUGUGAGCAACGUUCUAGUUUGGCAGGAAAAAUGAGCUCCCCAUCUGAACUGAAAGCUCAUUGCCAGAGCAUGACUCACACAAGUUGAAGGUGAACCCAGAGGCGACAAGGGAAAGAGAAAGUUCUACAAAGGAGAGACAUUCACAACAUCCUCACUCCUGGCAAGAUGACCGCACAUGCGCCCUGAUGCCCCUUUCUCCCUACAAAGAUGGCGGUCGUUACAGGGGGCUUUCGCCGAGAGACGCGACCUCGCUGCCUCCGGCCCGUUCGUUGUCAAUGCUGAACCAGAGUGCUUUAUUUGGGGUAUUAUGUUUCCACUGUACAUUUAUGAAGCCUUCCCGUCCACAUGGCCUCCGCCAAGACCCUCGUAAAUCUGUUUUUUUUCUCACCGGUUACGGAGCCAAUACCGUCACGUUCCUGCAGAGUGAGCCCUCACACGUCGCAUGCGUCAACCCGGCUAUGUUUUUCGCAUGAUCCAAUCACCGUGGCCACUGCGCUUGCUCGAACCUCUCCAGCCGGAGGACAAGGGGCACACUGUCCCGUCUGGUGACAACAUGAGGACGUUGGAAAUAGGAACAAGAAGAGUACAUUCAGCCCCUCUGAUAUGAACCACCAUUCAACAACAUCAGAGAUAAUCUGCAGCAGGCCUCAAUUCCUAUUUUCUCCCAGAUCCUUAUAUUACUAAAGUUGGAUUUUUUUUGAAGGAAAACAGUCUAUUUACUGCCUUUGGAAUACUUUCAGUGAUCUCGCCUCCACAACUAUUUGGUGCAGAUAAUUCCGGAUAUUCUCUACUCUCAGUGAGCAAAUUCUUCACAUCCAACUCAGUGCCACUGUAUUUUGUAAACAUAUUCCUAGUUCAAGAUUUGCCCACUUGUGUAAAGAUCUUAACAUCAAUCCUGUCAAGCCCCGCCAGAACCUUGUACUGUUUAAAAUAAGAUCACCCCUCAUUCUUCUAAAAUCUAAUAAACUAUGGUCAUCGUUCUUAACCUUCAUCGUAGGAAUCAAUCCCUUUGAAUAGCCUCCAAUAGCUUGAUGUCUUUUUUUGAAUUAACGGUCCAAAAUUGUACAAAUUGUAUGUGUGGACUCACUGGAACGCUCUGUUUGUAGCAAGACUUCCUUUUCUAAAUCUUCAAACCGUAGUAAUAAAGGGAAAAAAAUGUU